AUUUUCUGUUACACUUGCUCAGGCUUGGAGGAAAGCAGACCUCAGAAGCCUGGAGGAAAGAGAGAAGCUGCCUAAACCUUGGCCAAGCCAGAGCAGAGGGCCUCAGGAUGAGGAUCCUCUCCUGCUUCUCUAGAGAAUGUGCUCCAUCAAAAAGAGAGAAUAAACCAAGAAGGGGAAGACAGAGGAUCCAGAAUCAGGGAUGAUGGUGCACGGAAGUCCGAAGAUGACAGCUGUGCAUCAGGCCUUCAACAACCAGAAUGGGAGCAGAAGGAUGGGGGGCUCUGGGAGUGUCUCCAAGAAAGAAAGAGAAACUGAUCAAAUAGAUAAUUUUUAAAAUAUAUUGAGAGGAAAAUACUUCUGCAAUAAAUUUUGGGAUAUCGUAAUAGAAACUAAGAAAAUAAACACAUGAAAAAAACAAACAAACAAAAAAACCAAGGUAAUUAUCAACCCCAGGGAGAACAAAGGUUGUAUGAGAAAAGAAAUAAAAACAGAAUUCAAUACA